CAUCCGAGAUCCGGGCCAAUCAGAAAAAGAUAAUUUUUCCAUGAUAACCCGACCGGGGAUCGAACCCGGGAAAUCUCAGUUUAGAGGCAACCACUAUACCUCUGCGCCACCGAGGUCGUCAAAUAGGUGCGUACGGAGAUGUCCAAGCGAAAGAGCGCGACGGAGUAAUGGGGCAUAGCCUUUUGAAUGUUUUUAUUAUAAUAAACAUUAAAAAUUAGGUAGGUACUUUAAAAAAAACAUGUGUGACAUAUGAAAACAUUAAUGAGAUGAAACAUUUUAGAAUCGAACGGGAAACCAGAAUAUUAUCAUUACAAAACAUUAGGGAAUCCCUGGCUCUACUCCUGUGGACGAAGUCCAGACUGUAGUUAUCAACUCAAACUGCAUAUAAUCUGAUCCACUACGGGUCGCAUCACGCGAGAUGUUAGGGUCACAUGCAUUCAUACAUUCAUAUGUCCCGGCAAGAACAUAAUAAAAUAUACCCCAAACCUUGGUGAAAACCGCUUGAAAAUCCGUGCAGUAGUUUUUGAGUUUAUCGCGAACAGACUGACAGACAGAUAGACGCGGUAGAGGACUGUGUUUUAUUUAUACAUAUAAUUAAUAUAAUAGUAAUUAAACAGUAAAAAUAUUUUAGUAUUUGUGUGUAUUUUAUUUACAUUUAGUAUGGAACACACAUAAACAAAUAAACAUUUCUAUCCAUCUAUCUAGUAUUUUUGACUGAAAUGGAUAGAGAGACCCUUAAAACGAUUAAUAGAAAGCAAAAAAAAUGUCUGUCUGUAUGUAUGAUUAUGCUUCUCUCUGAAGGUACUGGACGGACUCGAAUGAAACGUUUUUGUUAUAUAGCUACAUAUUAAGCCUGGGCAACAUAUAAGGUAUAAAUUAUUUUGAAAAUUAGAACAUCUGUUGGAGAACCAUGACGGUUCAGCUAGACUAUACGAAAUAUAGAAAUGACGCCUUCACAAAAAUUGUUCAGCCUGAUCAUGAUGAGCAUUUUCUGUUGAGGUAUAGAAAUACUCAAACUCCGGGGCGCGAGUCCAACUCACACUUGACCGUUUUAUUUAAUUAGAAUUUGAUUAUGUAGCUGGCAACACUCUCAAACUCGAAGGGGAUUCACUCAGAUAUUGGGAAGCUAAAUAUAGAGUCCGCAGUUUAUUUGACGUGUAGUAUAAAAGCAAGGGGCAACUUUUUGCAGUUUGCAUUAUAAAAGCAGAGUUUGUACAGUGGCUUACGAGUGGAUUCGUGGUGCUAUUGAUAUUGUUUUUACAUAUUAUACUUAUUAAAAACAAGAUGGAUCUUUUUUCCAACAUCCUGGACAAUAUUCCGGGGGUAGGCCAAGUGAAAAUGGUGGCCCACCAGCUCAGCGGCGACAGCGAGGCGGCAGAACGCUCCUUUGAGAGGUCUACCAAGGCCACGAGCUGUUUGGCCGGGGUCCUCGGAGGCGGGCUCGCAGGGGGGCCGGCGGGGGCCAUCGCUGGUUAUGUGGCGGGGGGCGCGGCUGGUAAAGCGUUGGUCGAUUCGGCUAAAAACAACAAAAUAAAAUAAAUGUGUAAUAUGAAUGUAUUCCAAAAAUAAAUGUUUGUCUAUA